rnacentral:rRNA from 1 species
GACAGAGGGGGCAAGCGUUGCUCGGAAUUACUGGGCGUAAAGGGCGCGUAGGCGGGAUGGCAAGUCGGUCGUGAAAUCCCUCGGCUCAACCGGGGAACUGCGUCCGAUACUGGAUGGCUUGAGUUCGGGAGAGGGAUGCGGAAUUCCAGGUGUAGCGGUGAAAUGCGUAGAUAUCUGGAGGAACACCGGUGGCGAAGGCGGCAUCCUGGACCGACACUGACGCUGAGGAGCGAAAGCCAGGGGAGCAAACGGG